rnacentral:rRNA from 1 species
UCUUAAAAUCAUUGAUACAAUGGUUCUUGAGAUAACGUAAGGGAUAAAAAUGAUAGUACCUUACUAUAAGUGUUGUCCAACUAUACUGGUGCCAGAAGACUCGGUAACGCCAGAAACGCAAACGUUAGUCGUCUUAAUCAGGCGUAAAGGGUAAGUAGGCUGCUUUGAAAGUUUGUUAAUUAAAAAGCUCUUUUUUAAAGUAAUUAAUAAUGAAUUAAAGCUAGAAUCAAAUAGGGGAUAAGCCAAAUAAUAUUUAGUGUAAGGCUAAUAUCUUUAGAUACUAAAUGGAAUACUAAGGUUAAAACUUUUAUCUAUUAAUGAUUGACGCUGAGGAACGAAGGUGAGAAUAGAAAACAGGAUUAGAGACCCAGGUAUCUCUCACUGUCAACGAUGAAUGGUAGUUGUUAGUUAAACUUA